GUGGUAGUAGUGGUGGGGAGAAUACGGUGAGAUUCGUGAAACUCCGAUCAGUUACGUGUAGCGCGUGAGACGAUAAGGUUCGUCGGUGUGUCGGACGCGUGUAAACUCGUAGUGUGUUUUUUCGUUUUAAUCCUUGGAUCGUUUUUUUCUUUUUAAUUUCCUCUCCCCCCCUCCGUCUUCUUCCUUCUUCCUUUCUUACCACCUUUCCCCGAUCAAAAUUUUCAUUCCUCGUAAUCCACAAAAAAGUAAACGAACUAAAAAUCGGUGUGGUGUGUGUUUUACGACAGUGAACAAAGUGUCUAAACAAUUUGUCAGUGUGUAAAAUAGUGUGUAUAAAAAAAAUUAAAAGAAAGGAAAAACCACAAGUAUGAAUUACAUCGACUUAUCGAAAAAUCUUAGUGCGUUCGUCAAAGCCUGUUCAAACUUGGGAUACCUGACAGCUGUCAACAACGCUGGUAGGAGGGUUCAAAGAAACCGGUGCUCGAGUCUCAGAAGCUCUGCGGCGCGAGGAAUCGCACGAUCUGCGACUUGUUGCAGCCUGUCCAUAACGUUUCCUCUUCCUUGCACGAAUCAUUUUGUUCGAACAUUUGGAAAUGUACUCGGGAUUAUCGAGAAAAGUGAUACAACCGUGCGAGGAACAACCGGUGAUACAAACCUCUUCCCGGCCUUACCGUUCAUUCGGGAAAAACCCUCGUGCGAAGACAACCCAGAACCAUCGUGAAACGUUUCUGUAUUACGCCUGGAAUGUGAAUUCCACGAACGGAGACUCACCUUCCGGCCACGGAAGACAGAACGAAGAGGAGCAGGGGACUCCCGACAGGGGGCAGAAGGAACACCAGCAGCAGCAGCAGCAGCACAACAGCUCCUAAGGUCUACGAAUUGCAAGCGCACAAUCUUACAUGCCUCGGGCAACCAAGAAUAACCUCUUUCUCCUACCUUCGCGACUAUAUCGUGAGAAAGGAUAAAACGUGGAUAUAGAGAGAAAAAAAAAUCAUGAAAAUAACAAUAAUAAAG
rnacentral:misc_RNA from 1 species